GUCCGAGCCGCCGCCGCCCGCCGCGGGCAGCAGCGGCGUGAGGGGCUGCCCCGUUCCCGGGCCCUGCCGUUACCUGGGAGAGCCGGGGCUAUUUUUAACCUGGAUGUGUUCUGUGAUAUGUUUCCCACACAGCACAGAAACUGGCACAGCUGAGGGGCAGGAAAGAGCAUAGCUUUAAUUCCUGUUGGCUCAGUCACAUUUGCUCAACAUGACUGAAAACCCCCUUGACCUCUAGAAAUGCAAAAGUGAAUGUGGAUCUACAUUGGAAUCUUCUGCCCUUGUAAUCUUCUCUCUUGUAAUAUUUAAAAUCCUUAUUUGACUGAUGCUGCAGGUGGAGAGUAUUAGUUACCUCCCAUGACCACUCUGGCCACAAUGGCUUCCUUUGCUUGACAAGCUGAUUACUUUGUCAAGGCCGGGAGCCAGGAGGGCUGGCGCUCGGGACACCUCCUCCUGGUGCGCUGCCAAGGACGGUGGCGGUGUCCUGCGGCCAGAGCGGUGGCCCCGGGCACUCGGCAUCCGUCCUGCGGCUCGCCCGACCCUCCCCUCGAGACCUACUUCUGCCGGGACAGGCAAGGCUUAAAAAUGCCUUGGACCUGCAAACCGAGCACAGUUGCUCCGUGGAAGCCAGGGAAUCACAGGUCUCCUGCUUCUGCCUUUCCCCUUCCUGCUAUUUCGUUCUGAUUGCUGGGACUGUAAAACCUCUCUGGAGCAGGCACCGUUUCCCAUUGUGAAGCUACUUUGUAAACCUUCCUAACUGAAGGGACACACACAGAUACUCUUUUUCAUUCUUUUUUUUUUUUUUUUUUUUUUUUUUUUUUUUUUUUUUUUUUUUUUGUCCCAAGAAUGAUGUAUUUGUCUGGUCUCCUUCCUCUACCAACUUCUUUUUGUGUGCACACUGUGUCCUGUGGCACUCUUGGAGAAAAUUCUCUUUUUUAUUAAUUCCUGAGGCAAAGGCUGAGCAGCCAUCACAGGAAUUAGUGAUUUCCCACCUUGGGUUUUAAACCGUGAGCUCUGUGGAAGGAAGACUGAGAUUCUCAUGGCUGUGGAGAGCAUGGAGAGCACUUAGGAUGUGUAGGGCCCUAGUGAGAAAUGCAGAUGCAAUUAGUGAUUGUGCAGGUCUUCCAAUAAAAGCAGCAGAGCUAGCCCAGCACCCAGGUCCUCCAGAAGCUUCAUGGGACUGGUGAGAAAAGAAAAAAACCACCCCAAGUGUGUUGGCCCCAGAUGAGGAGUUUUUGGCUCAUGACCUGUGGCCAUACUGCCUGGCCUGUUUCCCAGAGAUCAGUGAAAGGUAAGUGAGAAAGGAGACUUGUUGUCAGCAAGCACAAAUCCAAGGGAUAGGCUGUGUGACUGGGAGAUAGGAGGCUCCAUGAGUAGGAGAAAAAGGUAAAAAUGCCUGUCCUCACACCCAGAAGCAUGGCAGCUCAUGGAAGUGAGGUUGUUUCACAGGGCAGCCACCCUUCACUUCACUGUUGCUUUUUUGUUGUAUCAAUCUGAGAUAAGCUCCUGUGUCAGUCUCCUCUUGGCCCUCAUCUUCUAGGGAUGAAAUAAAGAGCCAGCAGAGAACCACUCAAACCAGUGUUGUCUUAAUUUUCCCUCUGGGCAGUGAGAAUACUUCAGAGCAGAGUGAAUGAGCCCAAAAUGGUAGAAGGAGAGUUUCUGUGCCACUACAGGUGAAGCCACAACCCUGGGAUAUCCUCACCCUGCCAACAACUGGUGGUUUUGAGGCGUCUUUGGGCCUUGCUUUCCCCUUCCUCUCUUUCCCACUUGGGUUCUUGGCUCCAGAUCUCCUCCAUCCCAUCUUGGCCAGGCCCCAGCUCUCCUGGGAUGGGGCUGUGAUGAGGAUGGGAA